AUGAACGCUAGCGACAGGCUUAACACAUGCAAGUACGAGGGGUAACAGGGUAGCAAUACCGCUGACGACCGGCGCACGGGUGAGUAACGCGUAUGCAACCUGCCUAUAACUGGGGAAUAGCUCCCUGAAAGGGGGAAUUAACACCGCAUAACACCAUUGAUUCGCAUGGAUUAGUAGUUAAAUGUAGCGAUACAGGUUAUAGAUGGGCAUGCGUGACAUUAGCUAGUUGGUGAGGUAACGGCUCACCAAGGCUACGAUGUCUAGGGGUUCUGAGAGGAAGGUCCCCACACUGGUACUGAGACACGGACCAGACUCCUACGGGAGGCAGCAGUGAGGAAUAUUGGUCAAUGGGCGCAAGCCUGAACCAGCCAUGUCGCGUGCAGGAAGACUGCCCCUAUGGGUUGUAAACUGCUUUUAUAGUAGAAGAAACACAUCUACGUGUAGAUGUCUGCCAGUAUACUAUGAAUAAGCAUCGGCUAACUCCGUGCCAGCAGCUGC
rnacentral:rRNA from 1 species